rnacentral:rRNA from 1 species
GGCUCAGGACGAACGCUGGCGGCGUGCUUAACACAUGCAAGUCGAGCGGUAAGGCUCCUUCGGGAGUACACGAGCGGCGAACGGAUGAGUAACACGUGAGCAAUCUGCCCUUCACUUCGGGAUAACUCCGGAAAACCGGUGCUAAUACCGAAUACGACCACUUCAGGCAUCUGAUGGUGGUGGAAAGUUCCGGCGGUGAAGGAUGAGCUCGCGGCCUAUCAGCUUGUUGGUGGGGUAACGGCCCACCAAGGCAACGACGGGUAGCCGGCCUGAGAGGGUGACCGGCCACACUGGGACUGAGACACGGCCCAGACUCCUACGGGAGGCAGCAGUGGGGAAUAUUGGACAAUGGGCGAAAGCCUGAUCCAGCAACGCCGCGUGAGGGAUGACUGCCUUCGGGUUGUAAACCUCUUUCAGCAGGGACGAAGCGCAAGUGACGGUACCUGCAGAAGAAGCACCGGCCAACUACGUGCCAGCAGCCGCGGUAAUACGUAGGGUGCGAGCGUUGUCCGGAAUUAUUGGGCGUAAAGGGCUCGUAGGCGGUCUGUCGCGUCGGGAGUGAAAACUCAGGGCUUAACCCUGAGCCUGCUUCCGAUACGGGCAGACUAGAGGUAUGCAGGGGAGAACGGAAUUCCUGGUGUAGCGGUGGAAUGCGCAGAUAUCAGGAGGAACACCGGUGGCGAAGGCGGUUCUCUGGGCAUUACCUGACGCUGAGGAGCGAAAGUGUGGGGAGCGAACAGGAUUAGAUACCCUGGUAGUCCACACCGUAAACGUUGGGCGCUAGGUGUGGGACUCAUUCCACGAGUUCCGUGCCGCAGCUAACGCAUUAAGCGCCCCGCCUGGGGAGUACGGCCGCAAGGCUAAA